rnacentral:rRNA from 1 species
UACGUAGGGUGCGAGCGUUGCUCGGAAUCACUGGGCGUAAAGCGCACGUAGGCGGAUCUUUAAGUCAGGGGUGAAAUCCCAAGGCUCAACCUUGGAACUGCCUUUGAUACUGGGGAUCUCGAGUCCGGAAGAGGUGAGUGGAACUGCGAGUGUAGAGGUGAAAUUCGUAGAUAUUCGCAAGAACACCAGUGGCGAAGGCGGCUCACUGGUCCGGUACUGACGCUGAGGUGCGAAAGCGUGGGGAGCAAACAGG